GACGAACGCUGGCGGCGUGCUUAACACAUGCAAGUCGAACGCUGAAGCUCAGCUUUUGUUGGGUGGAUGAGUGGCGAACGGGUGAGUAACACGUGAGUAACCUGCCCCCUUCUUUGGGAUAACGCCCGGAAACGGGUGCUAAUACUGGAUAUUCACUGGUCUUCGCAUGGGGGUUGGUGGAAAGGGUUUUUCUGGUGGGGGAUGGGCUCGCGGCCUAUCAGCUUGUUGGUGGGGUGAUGGCCUACCAAGGCUUUGACGGGUAGCCGGCCUGAGAGGGUGACCGGUCACAUUGGGACUGAGAUACGGCCCAGACUCCUACGGGAGGCAGCAGUGGGGAAUAUUGCACAAUGGGCGCAAGCCUGAUGCAGCGUCGCCGCGUGAGGGAUGGAGGCCUUCGGGUUGUGAACCUCUUUCGCUCAUGGUCAAGCCGCAACAAUGGUUGUGGUGAGGGUAGUGGGUAAAGAAGCGCCGGCUAACUACGUG
rnacentral:rRNA from 1 species